GACGAACGCUGGCGGCGUGCUUAACACAUGCAAGUCGAACGGAAAGGCCCCUUUCUGGGUUCUCGAGUGUCGAACGGGUGAGUAACACGUGCGUAACCUUCCCUUGACUUCGGGAUAACUUCAGGAAACUGGGGCUAAUACCGGUAAGGAAUCCUUUCUGCAUGGUGGGGGUUGGAAAGUUUCGGGGGUUAUGGAUGUACUCGCGGGUUAUCAGCUUGCUGCUGUGGCGGUGGCUUACCAAGGCUUUGUCGGGUAGCCGGCCUGUGUGGGCGACCGGCCACACUGGGUCUGAGGGGCGGCAGAGGCUGCGACUGGAGGCAGCAGGGCGGAAUAUUGAAGGAUCAGCGGAGGGCUGAUGCAGCAACGCCGCGUGCGGGAUGACGGCCUUCGGGGUGAAAAACGCAUUCAGAAGGGGCGAAGCUUGUGGUGACGGUACCUGCAGAGGAAGCACCGGCUAACUACGUG
rnacentral:rRNA from 1 species